CGAAAGCCUGACGGAGCAACGCCGCGUGUGGGAAGAAGGCCUUUGGGCUGUCAACCACUUUUCUCAGGGAAGAAGUUCUGACGGUACCUGAGGAAUCAGCCUCGGCUAACUCCGUGCCAGCAGCCGCGGUAAUACGGAGGAGGCAAGCGUUAUUCGGAAUUAUUGGGCGUAAAGCGUCCGCAGGGGGCUCAUCAAGUCUGCUGUCAAAGGUCGGAGCUCAACUCCGGUAGAGCAGUGGAAACUGGUGCGCUAGAGGGCGACAGGGGUAGAGGGAAUUCCCAGUGUAGCGGUGAAAUGCGUAGAUAUUGGGAAGAACACCGGUGGCGAAAGCGCUUUGCUGGACCGAACCUGACGCUGAGGGACGAAAGCUAGGGGAGCG
rnacentral:rRNA from 1 species